rnacentral:rRNA from 1 species
AUCGAACGCUGGCGGCAUGCCUUACACAUGCAAGUCGAACGGUAACAGGUCUUCGGACGCUGACGAGUGGCGAACGGGUGAGUAAUACAUCGGAACGUGCCCAGUCGUGGGGGAUAACUACUCGAAAGAGUAGCUAAUACCGCAUACGAUCUGAGGAUGAAAGCGGGGGACCUUCGGGCCUCGCGCGAUUGGAGCGGCCGAUGGCAGAUUAGGUAGUUGGUGGGAUAAAAGCUUACCAAGCCGACGAUCUGUAGCUGGUCUGAGAGGACGACCAGCCACACUGGGACUGAGACACGGCCCAGACUCCUACGGGAGGCAGCAGUGGGGAAUUUUGGACAAUGGGCGAAAGCCUGAUCUAGCAAUGCCGCGUGCAGGAUGAAGGCCUUCGGGUUGUAAACUGCUUUUGUACGGAACGAAAAAGCUCCUUCUAAUACAGGGGGCCCAUGACGGUACCGUAAGAAUAAGCACCGGCUAACUACGUGCCAGCCGCCGCGGUAAUAC